rnacentral:lncRNA from 1 species
UAGCAGAGGCGCUAAACCAUCUGGACAAUAAUUAACUGGAUGCUGGGUGAUGCAAUAUGGAGGGACUAACCAGUAGGCAGGAGAGAUGGAAUGAGUGCUGACUACUAAACCAGCCAUCUCAGUGAUGAGGCAAUAGAGAUUGUGUGCACGAGAACGGGACUGAGUUCAUCCAUGCCUGGGACACCAUCAGUCUGUGAAUUUAAGAAGUUGCU